GACGAACGCUGGCGGCGUGCUUAACACAUGCAAGUCGAGCGGUAAGGCCCUUUCGGGGGUACACGAGCGGCGAACGGGUGAGUAACACGUGGGUGACCUGCCCUCAGCUCUGGGAUAAGCCUGGGAAACUGGGUCUAAUACUGGAUAUGACUCCACGGUGCAUGUCGUGGGGUGGAAAGCCUUGUGCGGCUGAGGAUGGGCCCGCGGCCUAUCAGCUUGUUGGUGGGGUGANGGCCUACCAAGGCGACAACGGGUAGCCGGCCUGAGAGGGCGACCGGCCACACUGGGACUGAGACACGGCCCAGACUCCUACGGGAGGCAGCAGUGGGGAAUCUUGCGCAAUGGGCGAAAGCCUGACGCAGCGACGCCGCGUGAGGGAUGACGGCCUCGGUGUAAC
rnacentral:rRNA from 1 species